GCUGAUCAUACCAAGAUUGAGACAAUGCUGAAAUGGUCUCUACUUAGCAACCUAAGGGAGCUGAGGGGCUUCCUAGGAUUGAUUACGUACUAUAGGGGAUUCGUGAGGGGGAUAUAACACCAUAGUUGGCCUCUGACAGACAGCUGAAGGACAGCUUUUUGUGGGGAGAUGCAACGACUUAAGUCUCUGAGAGAUUGAAGACAUCCAUGAUUACUGUCCUGGUCCUACCCAAUUUCAGCCAAAUGUUUGUGGUAGAGAUUGAUGCCUCAUGAUAUGGAUUGGGGGCAGUGCUCAUGCAAAAUCACAGAUCUAUAUAGCCUAUUUUAGCCAAGUAUUGACAGCCAAAGCUAGGCUGAAGUCAGUUUAUGAGAGGGAAUUAAUGGCUAUUGUAUUGGCUAUUCAGAAGUGGUGGUCUUACUUGUUGGGCCAACAUUUCAUCAUCAAGACAGACCAGCGGAGCUUGAAAUACUUGCUAGAGCAGAGGAUGGUGACUAAGGAACAUCAAAGUUGGUUGUCAAAGCUAUUGGGUUAUGACUUUGAGAUCCAAUAUAGGCUAGGGCUAAAGAAUAAGGUGGCUGAUGCCUUAUCCAUAUACAUGGGUGAGCUCCAAGAGUUAGCCAGUUCUGUACCUCUGACGUUGGAUUGUCUAGCUCAGUACUUUCAUACUUCCACUUAGAGCGGGUUUCUUGAGACGUAGUGUUCUGGUAGCAGCUAGCCAGUUAACACAGGGAUAGAGACUUUCACUUGCUCUAGCUGUACUCGUCAGAGUUUACAGAGUUUUGCGCAACACUUCUAAGGUGAGCUCUCUUGAGGUACAAGACUUAGUUUUGCCGUGACAGUACUUGUACAUGUGGGUCCAUCUAUACGUUCAGGAUGCUUUCUCCUGCCUAGAGACCCCCACUUGCUUCCUUCAGAGAGGAUAUCCUAUAGUUCUUCAGUUGUCGCACGCGUCUUCUACCUUUGAAUCAGAGAGAAUCCGUCUCUUAUUCUUUGUCUCGUAGUUGGCCUCAGAUCGGUUUUCUUUAGUUUAUCAGCCUAACAACAUCAGUUUAUCACCUCGCCAAAGAGGCACCGUUGUUGUGGACGGGGUGGACCAUAGAGGGAGGCAUACUUUGUUGCAGAGAAGGUAGAGUUUGGCAGUUGCUGAGUACCUCAUUAGCAUGCAUCCAGGCUAGUUGUGUUACAGAACAGGUGUUGUACUAAACUUAGAGGGCAUCAACCCAAUAGAGUGGCCAGACAGUUCGGGUUCUUCUAGGCCAUAGCCUAUGACGGACGGCCACUCGUCCAUGUAGUUAUAGAUACACGUUGCAUGGACACUGUUCCGCUAGAGACCCAUCUCAACACUACAAUUUUGACUUGGUUACACUUGUUGAGGCUGAGAAUAGGUUUCAGUUUUCUUUUGACUCAGUCGUCUACUCACACAAGAGUUACUUACACACGACUAUUCUGGGUACGACAAUCUUUCAGACCUGCUUUAGAGCACGAUGCUAGGAGGUACGAGGGUAGAGUAUGGGAGCUUGGGGUGCUGAGGAGACAAAGGUCUUGUCGGGGCUUUUCAGAGGUUACUGUUGAUAGAGUGUAGAGAUGCAUAUUGAGGCUCGUGCUACUACUGGGGCCAUUGUUCUUUCACUUGCCAGAGCUCCGGAUGUGGCACCUGCGCACAUCAUACAAAGGUUUCCCGGCACUUCUGCAAAUGUACUGGUUCUCAGCGUGCAACUCCUUCUAGGAGAUCUGUAGAUGCUCUCCCUUCUCCUAGGGAACUUGGAGAGAGUUCAUAGAAGCCGAGGAGGUGAGAAUUCACAGGAUAUAAUUUGUUAGGACCUUCCGACGACCUCUCUUUCCCGGUAGAUCCCUACGGGUCGUUCUGGCCAGGCAAGUCUUCAGGGGCCUGCGCAGCCUCACCGGUGGAGUUUUUUUGGAGAUCUUUGUGCACACCAAUUGAGUUAGACUUGGUUCAUACAUAGUUCUCAUUUUUUCCUUGCCUGAGGGGAAUUCGACUACACUUCGGAGAUCCACUGCCAUGCUCCCUUAUCUCCGAAUUUUAGGAGUGCCGAUAAAUGUAGCUACACCACAGAGAUUUUGCGGGAUCUAAUUUCCAGUAUCGACUCAGGGUCUCCAGAGUCUUGGGACAUGUUUACUUCUUCUGCUGACCAAACUCUCAGCCUUCUUACUAGCUUCAAGAUGGACAGUUCUGAGCUACUUGGGUGGGAGACACUGCGUCGUGAGGUAGAGUACUAUGUCAGGCGGCUGAGCUCUUUCUCCAUCCUACGGGCUGGAGCUACACUUCCAGAGUUAGAGGCGAGAGUUGUCAGGCGACAAGCGGCUGCUUACGACGCCGACGACCAGUUUGACAGGAGUGUCGAGGCUUUGAGGAGACACUGGGAGUGCUCUUCCAGGAUGGGCAUUGAGGAAGCAAUAUUGACAGCUCGCGUGAGGUGUCUCUAGAGGGACAUCAAGGAGGCGAUGUCCAAGAAGACUAACGUAGAGGAGAGGCGCGGCUUGCAUGACCGCCUCACCAGGAGGGAGGAGCAGCGUCACCAAACUCUGCACCAUACGAUGAUGGUCGCCGACACCACGCUAGCACAGUCUGUAGAGGAGUUCCAGACUGCAGAGGCGGAGUUCUAGACUUUGUUAGAGGUAGUUGGGCAGUUGGAGGAUUUACAGUCUCGCCUCCCUUGAUGUAUCUACAUGUCUUUUACUCUUUUUUGUUUCUUUGUGGUUUGUACUCUGUAGUAUCCUCAGUCUCCAUUAUACUCGUACCUCUUGAUGGUUAUUGUAUACAUACAUAGAGGACACUAAAAAGAACAAAAAAUCCUCGGACUCCUAUCUCAUGAUGAUUAUUAUCAUCUUAAUUUUAAAUCAUGAGGCUGAUUUGCUACAUCAUAAGUUCUCGCUUUCUAAACAUUUUGUCAAUCUUGUAGUUGAAGAC